rnacentral:rRNA from 1 species
GACGAACGCUGGCGGCGUGCUUAACACAUGCAAGUCGAACGGAAAGGCCCUGCUUUUGUGGGGUGCUCGAGUGGCGAACGGGUGAGUAACACGUGAGUAACCUGCCCUUGACUUUGGGAUAACUUCAGGAAACUGGGGCUAAUACCGGAUAGGAGCUCCUGCUGCAUGGUGGGGGUUGGAAAGUUUCGGCGGUUGGGGAUGGACUCGCGGCUUAUCAGCUUGUUGGUGGGGUAGUGGCUUACCAAGGCUUUGACGGGUAGCCGGCCUGAGAGGGUGACCGGCCACAUUGGGACUGAGAUACGGCCCAGACUCCUACGGGAGGCAGCAGUGGGGAAUAUUGCACAAUGGGCGGAAGCCUGAUGCAGCAACGCCGCGUGCGGGAUGACGGCCUUCGGGCUGUAAACCGCUUUCGCCUGUGACGAAGCGUGAGUGACGGUAAUGGGUAAAGAAGCACCGGCCAACUACGUG